UCCAGUCGAUGGGCGGAGAGAAGCGAGUGACGCACUUCCUGUCUCUUUUAAACCCCAGUAGCGAAGCUUUCCCCCCUUUUACUUUCUCCAAGAAGAAGCAGAGGCAGUUGGAGCAGUCGACACCCAACUCUUAUUAUAUCACUGACAGAGUUACAGUCCGCUACCAUGACUUACCAAGAAUGCAUAUCAGACGGGCUGCAGGACACAGGAUAAGGGCCGCUCGCUCUCACUGGGGUCCGUGCAUCAGCUGAGAGCAUGAGGGAAGGUGCCCAUUAAAUGAAAAUGCAUUUAACAUGUAGGAGGCGGCUGUUACCUGUCCAUCAGGUACUGCAUUAGCAUACGAGUUUGCAGCAUAAAGCCAAUAUGAAAUGAAAAUUUGAAUGGCAUGCAAAGAAAAUAAGAAUGCAAAGGAUUGUAAGUGUUUCCACAGGCAAAACUAUAAAUCCAGAUGGCAUGCUGGAUCAACCCGAGCUGAUGGAAAAAUAACAGUGGAGGGCCG